rnacentral:rRNA from 1 species
ACAAAUGCCCUGCUUCCAGGAAAAGCCUCUAAGCAUCAGGUAACAUCAAAUCGUACCCCAAACCGACACAGGUGGUCAGGUAGAGAAUACCAAGGCGCUUGAGAGAACUCGGGUGAAGGAACUAGGCAAAAUGGUGCCGUAACUUCGGGAGAAGGCACGCUGAUAUGUAGGUGAAGCGACUAGCUCGUGGAGCUGAAAUCAGUCGAAGAUACCAGCUGGCUGCAACUGUUUAUUAAAAACACAGCACUGUGCAAACACGAAAGUGGACGUAUACGGUGUGACGCCUGCCCGGUGCCGGAAGGUUAAUUGAUGGGGUUAGCGGUAACGCGAAGCUCUUGAUCGAAGCCCCGGUAAACGGCGGCCGUAACUAUAACGGUCCUAAGGUAGCGAAAUUCCUUGUCGGGUAAGUUCCGACCUGCACGAAUGGCGUAAUGAUGGCCAGGCUGUCUCCACCCGAGACUCAGUGAAAUUGAACUCGCUGUGAAGAUGCAGUGUACCCGCGGCAAGACGGAAAGACCCCGUGAACCUUUACUAUAGCUUGACACUGAACAUUGAGCCUUGAUGUGUAGGAUAGGUGGGAGGCUUUGAAGUGUGGACGCCAGUCUGCAUGGAGCCGACCUUGAAAUACCACCCUUUAAUGUUUGAUGUUCUAACGUUGGCCCGUAAUCCGGGUUGCGGACAGUGUCUGGUGGGUAGUUUGACUGGGGCGGUCUCCUCCUAAAGAGUAACGGAGGAGCACGAAGGUUGGCUAAUCCUGGUCGGACAUCAGGAGGUUAGUGCAAUGGCAUAAGCCAGCUUGACUGCGAGCGUGACGGCGCGAGCAGGUGCGAAAGCAGGUCAUAGUGAUCCGGUGGUUCUGAAUGGAAGGGCCAUCGCUCAACGGAUAAAAGGUACUCCGGGGAUAACAGGCUGAUACCGCCCAAGAGUUCAUAUCGACGGCGGUGUUUGGCACCUCGAUGUCGGCUCAUCACAUCCUGGGGCUGAAGUAGGUCCCAAGGGUAUGGCUGUUCGCCAUUUAAAGUGGUACGCGAGCUGGGUUUAGAACGUCGUGAGACAGUUCGGUCCCUAUCUGCCGUGGGCGCUGGAGAACUGAGGGGGGCUGCUCCUAGUACGAGAGGACCGGAGUGGACGCAUCACUGGUGUUCGGGUUGUCAUGCCAAUGGCACUGCCCGGUAGCUAAAUGCGGAAGAGAUAAGUGCUGAAAGCAUCUAAGCACGAAACUUGCCCCGAGAUGAGUUCUCCCUGACUCCUUGAGAGUCCUGAAGGAACGUUGAAGACGACGACGUUGAUAGGCCGGGUGUGUAAGCGCAGCGAUGCGUUGAGCUAACCGGUACUAAUGAACCGUGAGGCUUAACC